rnacentral:ncRNA from 2 species
CCUUCGCGACUUGUUUCAGGUGCUCUGUGGUCUUGGCCGACAGGGUGAAACAGGGAAGCCGGUCAGGGCCGUUCCAGUGAUGGGGCUGGCGACGAUUCCGGCGCUGCCCCCGCAACGGUAGGUGAGUCAAGGCUGUGCAGGUGCCACUGUGUCGAAGACGACAUGGGAAGGCGCGCAGUUCGGCAGCGAUGCCGCUCACGAGCCCGGAGACCGGCCUGAUCCAUCCAACGGCA